CAUAUGAAGGGUUUGAUCCUGGCUCAGAAUGAACGUUAGCGGCGUGGAUUAGGCAUGCAAGUCGAGCGAGAAGUCUCUUAUUGAUCCCUUCGGGGUGAAGUAAAAGACGGACAGCGGCAGACGGCGUAGUAAGGCGUAGGUGACGUACCCUGGAGACCGGGACAGCUACGGGAAACUGUAGGUAAUACCGGGAGAUCUCCCAGGACAUGAUCGUCUUGGGAGCAAAUGGUGAGAUUCCGCUCUUGGAGCGGCCUACGUGGUA
rnacentral:rRNA from 1 species